AAAUGCUUGGAUAUUAAAAUAUAAAAUACAUCACACUUGAAUAACAUUAGCAAUAUAAUCACUUUUCGACAGAUGUAUACAAUUAUUUUGUAAUCUGACCUUUACUUGACAAAGUCAAGUAAAACAGCUGAAUUUGUAACAAAUACUUUAAAUAAAAAGAUAAAUUGUCAAUACAAUGAAUUAUAUCACGUACUUACAGAACAGGGUUACGAAGCCAAGAUUUAUCGCACGUAUUGAACGCAAUCGAUUCCAUUAUGUAAGCGAAUCGAUCUAUCGAUCUGUUUCCGCUCGAUCUGACGUUUUGCGAUAUUUGUGUUACUGUCACGUGACAGUGCUCUACAUUUUCUGUGUUUAUCUGUUAAGGUAAGGAAUCCAGUGGUUAGAUGCCGACAGAUCGUGACUUAUGAUUUCAUUAUUGGCGCGCGCCGUGCGGCGCCUGCGCCUAUAUUCUUAACACUUUGCGAGUGUUUGGUAAAGGGAGGACAUUUGGGCGUUGGUCUUUGGUUGAGAACGUGACAUCGUCAGAUUGGGAAGUGACGUUUCUAAAUAAUAUGACGCUCUAGGCAGCGUAUGGUGGAAAGCAGGCGUAAAAGCCAUGACAGGCUGACAAGUCGUGGGUAGUCUCAUUUUGUACAUUAUCAACCGUUAGAUCCGUCGCGAGAAUAAAGAUCUCUGAAGAGUCUGCUCUAAUAUAAAGCCAUAAAAGCCAGAAAAACUUAAAUUAAAAAAAAUGUAUCGGGGUGACAGAAGCGGAAGAAAAGCGUUUUAACAAAAAAAGCAAUCGAUGAGUUCGAUCAUAAAUAAAUUUGCGCAUUUUUAGAAUCAGAUAUUUUUAGCUUUAAAAAAAUCUAAGAUUUGUUUUAGAACUUACAUAUGUUCGACAUUUUUUUUUCUUUUUUUUUUUUUUUUUUCAUUCACAUUUAAAAAUAAAUUGAGGUCAUUUCUGCUAGCAAAAUGUUUUUAUUCAGUUGAAGAGUUUUUCCAAUACAAUAAUGAAUCUAUUUAAUCCUGACAUGUGCGUUGUAAAUUAUUUAAUGAAUUAAGUUAUAUUUGUUUUUUUAUAUAAGUAUUUGUUUUUGUAUGAAUUGACAUGUUAUCAAAUAUUUAUUUAAUUGUAAUUACUACAAAUUUUGAUUUUUUAACUUAUUAUUUUAUUUUAACAUUAUUUUAUUUCAUUUUUACAUUUCACUUAUGAAUUAAUUGUUUAAUUUAAUCAUAGAAAAUUUAUUUAUUUGCUGACAUGUCCACUCACUACUUAGUUUAAUUAAAUUAUAAGUAUGUAGUUUUCUAACACAAUAUAUUAUUGUUAAAGAAAUAAAUGAAUGAAUGAGUCAAGAAA